UCCACUGCCCGCUGAGAGAGGAGGUGUGUUUGGGCCGGCUGCAGGGGGAGCUGGAUCUGCCGCUCUCCACGUUUCAUAACAAGCAAGAGCCUCUCAGGGUUUAAACUCAGAGGGGCACUGCCAGUCAAGUCUCUCUUUGGGUCUCUGUCUCUCUUUUCUUAUUCCUCCGUCUGUGGGGUUCUGACCCCUCUUUCUGCAUCUGCCUUCACAUUUGCCCUUUUGCCCUGCCUCUCUUCGUGCUGAGCUCCCGGACAUCACUCUGUGUUUCUCCCUGUCUGUCUGUCUCUGUCUGCGUCCUAGCUCGCUUUAUGUCUGUCUCUCCACGUCCUUCCAUCUGUCUGCCUCUCCCUUUAUCUCUAAGCCUCUGUCUGUCCGUGUCCAGGUUUUCCUUAGUCUCUGUGUCACCAUAUCUCAAAGUGCCAGGUUUUUGUUGUUCUUGUCCCUGGUGGUGGUGGUUGGUGACAUUAGUUGGGAAACCCUAGAGGCCCCUCCCAGGGAUUCACAGCACCUCCAUUAGCACGGAUCCCCUGCAGAAAAUAAACUUUCCUGUUCUUGUUUUGCCCUUUGCUUCCCACUUGACUUUGACAGCAGAACCAUCUUUUUCCUCCCAGAACACCUACUAACAUCUCGUGGAAUAAUCUUAGAAUCUCUGCUCCGUGCCUUGGCCCUGCUCUCUGUUUCUGCCUUUCCAGUUCUCUCUCUUUUUCUUUCUGCGUGUCUGUGUCUCUGUCUAUUCUUUCUUGUGUCCUCUCUCUCUGUGGCUCUCUCUCUCUGUGUCCACGUGUCUCUCCCUGUAGGCCUAGGUGAGUUUUCCUCCUCUCUCCCUCUCUGUAUCACUGACUUCCCAGCUCUCUGUCUCUCUCUCUCUGUUGUUCUCCAUAUCUCUCAUAUGUCUCUCUCUGUCUUUUUCUCUCUAUCUCUCUGUCUCUGUGUGGUCUCUUUUUCUUGCUUCUCUCUCUCUCUGUCCCUCUGAUUCUCUGUCUCUCCCUGUCUUUCUCUCCCCAUCUCUCUGUGUGGUUUCUCUCACUGUCUUUUUCUCUGUCUGUCUAUCUGUCUGUCUGUCUGUCUCAUGUCUUCCACUCCUCAGAAAGGCCUUGGCCUGAGGCCCCCGGUGGGGUGGGCUCCUUGGCCUUUCCCACCCACAGUGGUGAGCUAUGUGGGUCAGAGUGGAACGGAGUAGGGGAACUUUUCCACCAGAAGACUAAGAGAGCCAGAGCAUCACAAUGCUGCAGCCGCUGCGUGUUCUUCCAAGUCUUGGUGGCAGGUGCAGUUGGAGGGAUGCGGGGCCAGCCCCGCCGCAGGACUGGGGGAAGUGCCCGAGUCCCGCUGACUUCCACACACGCAGCCAGAGAUCAGCCUGGGCCACAUCGGCCGAGGAUUAAUAUGAACAUAAAUAAAGGGGGAGAGGAGUGGAAAUGGGCUUUGGAAAGCACAUUGCUAUUUUUCCUUCCUGUCUGCAUUUUUCCUUCUCAUCUUAUUACCGCCCAACAUGGGCCUUCUGCUCGCCACAAGACAUGCCAAUAGUCAAGAGGCAAGGCGGUAGGAAAAAAAAGGACUUUAUUAUUACAGCUUGCUAGCAAGAGGGAAGAUGGCCAACUAAUGUCUGCAAAAAACCAUCUUAAAGGAGCACAAAUCUUAUAGCAGUUAUAUAGGCCGGUGGGCUACAGGGGAGAGGGCUGGGAAUGCUGACCCUCCGGUCCCACAGACUGGGAGUGGCCACACCAGGUCCUCCAGUCCUCAUUGAGGAUGGCUGUCAGCACAGACUCUCUGCCCGGGGACCAUCACACUUCCAAGGAACCCAAAAGAACAAAGCCAUCAUCCCAUCGCAGGUGGGAGGCACAUGCACAGGCAGGGGCCGCAAAAUCAACAUAGCAGUGAGACCUCCCCGAGCGUGCAUAUCCAGCCAGGCUAGUUUGUCAGAGGCCAUUCAAAGUCACAACAGGGUUUCCUUUCUAUAACAUGGCUUCCCUUAUGUCAACCUUGUCUUGAGCCAGUAUCAAUCUCUUAUGUGUUCACCCUGUAACUCCUCUCUGUAUCUUCUGCCUGAGGCCCUGCUUCCUUUCCCUUCAUCUUUUGAGCAAGCUGUUACCCUGUUUCUGCCCUCUGAGAGUCCUAACAGGAAGGCCUGGCAUUUGUCCCAUGCUUUGUCACCAAGAACUUUGUCACACGCUGCUGCAACAACCCAGUGAGAGAACAGACCUGUUCCCAUUUCACAGAUGAGAAAACCCGGACCACAGAGGGAGGAGCUGGAGGGAAGGAGCUGGAGGGAAAGGAGCUGGCCCCAGUACAAAUCUCCCUGGAUCCUGGAACAUUGACUGUCAGCAACUCUGGCGGCAGAUGUGGAAAUCAGGACAAGGAGAGGUGAAAUGUUUUAUCCAGUCUUGCAGAGCUGGUAAGUGGAGGAGCUGGGAUUUGAACCAACAAAAAGGGGCUCAGCCAGAAUGCGCUAUCAGAGUGUGCAGGGGGGAGAGUCCUGCGGGCCGGCUGCUUGGAGGAGGUGGACGGGUAAGGAAAGACCUUCCUCUGGAGAGGAGCAUU